rnacentral:misc_RNA from 1 species
AAACUGCGAUAAGUCGUGUGAAUUGCAGGGUUCAGCGAAUCACGAAAUCCUCGAACGCACCUUGCGCUCCCGGGAUCUCUCCCGGGAGCACGCCUGUUUGAGCGUCGUUUAACAGCAAUCAUCAAACACAAAGCGAUUUGUGGAUUGGUGGAGGUUGGAGAGUUCGUUUCUGAGUCGCAAGACUUGGUCGAUCCUCUUAAAUCAAGCAGAGGUUGCGUCUUUCGCUCUUAGCGAUCGAUCAGUAUCUCACUUUUAGUGCUUACACAUUGGAAGAUUCUCCUUAGCGAGGUUCAUUUUUUGUGUUGAGCCGAGAUAUUGGCAAUGCUAUCGAUUGACGUUUCACUGGACCUCUGGGCAGUUAAACACAGCAAGGGUGAGAGAGACUUUGCGCUCUCUUAUUCUUAAACUUGCGACCUCAAAUCAAGCGAGACUACCCGCUGAACUUAAGC